rnacentral:lncRNA from 1 species
ACUGAAGCCCGAGCCGAGCCGAGCCCGAGCCGCCGCCGCCGCCGCCGCUGCUGCGCACCGCUCCCGGGCUCCCUCCCAGCGCGCCGGCCGGGGUGUGGGGGGCGGCGGGCCGGAGGGGCGAGGGCGGGCCAGGGGGCGCACACGGGGGUUGGCGCGGAAGACAGGACCCUCAGCCUCGAGGGAGCCCCUAGGUGACCAGGCAAAAUGGCAGUUCCUUCCAGCUGGUCCUCAGAUGGGCACAUCUAUUAGCCUCUGCUCUUGUAAGAAGUUAGCUGCAGAACCCACAUGUGAAUCCUUGUAGGACUCUGGAGAAGAUCAAAUGGGAGCUUAGAUGUGGAAGCUCUUUGGAAACCAAGAAACACUCUGAAAAUGAAAAGGGAACAGUUUGUGGACUUGCGCUGGCCCUUGGACCACACUUCGAGUGACAUUGUUAUAGAUGACACGGUCUCUUAUAGGAAAAUGCACAGUCUUUCUUAGAUUCUCUACCUCCCUCUUCCAUCUCAUUCCCAACAUAGAUCUGGGUACAUGAGUGGGGUCUUAUUAUAAUCUUGUGACACCCUUGGAUCAUGCACUACCCUCUAAAUAAUCAAUAGUUUCUACUAUAGAGAGGCUCAAUUUAUCUUCUCCCUGGAAUUGGGACCACUGAAAUAUAACUAGAACCCAACUGAUCUUUUGAGAUGUUGUGUGCUUGCCCUUACUGCUACUGCCGUAGUUCUGAACAUUUCCCCAAGCAUCAAAAAGGCCCCAUGGCCUCUUUUCCCCUAGACCUCUGCCAGUCCACCAACACUCUCAGUGGGGAAGUAAGAAGCCUGGUGGAUCCUGCUUCCCACACAAAGGCCAUGAUGAGACAGAUGCUUUCUAAGUCCGAUAUAUCUACCCACUUUCUGCUGUCACCUCUGUACCUCCUGAGUCACAUGGAAUGUGGUGCUGAGCCAAAUGGUCAGUCUUCUAGAAGCAGUGGAAUGUUGGAGGCAGCUUAUACCUUAGCUGAUUCUUAAAUUUUCAGGAAUUUUGUGAGCCAGUUUUUAAACACAGCCAUUGUUGAAAAUUAAACAAUAUAAACUUAUAAUCAAAUAUAUUAAAAAUAAAGAUAAU